rnacentral:tRNA from 2 species
GCCGCCAUAGCUCAGAUGGUAGAGCAAUUCACUCGUAAUGAAUAGGUCCACGGUUCAAUUCCGUGUGGCGGCUCCA